rnacentral:tRNA from 1 species
CAGGAAGUAGUUUAAUUAAAAUAUUAAUUUUGGGGAUUAAUGAUAAAGAAGUUUCUUUUUUCCUGA